CAGAGAGAGUUGGACACAACAGCAGCAGAACUUGCUAACAGACAAGAUGAAAGCGAAACAUCAAGAAAAAAACUCGUGGAACAGAGCCGAGAGUUUAAGAAGAACACAUCUGAGGAUUACGUUUCGAUGGGAUGCUCUAUUCUCAGUGCAGAAGAAAAGACAGGGGUGAGAGGAUGUGUGGUUUGUAUGCAAAUGAUCAAUGGAAACAUGCCUGGUUUUACCCUUUGAAAAACAGCGACCAGUUCAACUGUUCUGAACCACUGGUUCGGAAGAAACAGACUAAUGGACGACGCAUUGUGAGGAUACCAUCUAGUACCGAACUGUCUUCUGGAAGAAAUGGUGUACAACCCUCAUUUUUAACAUGUACGACAUAAAUAAAGAGCCAAUAUGUUUUGUUAA